rnacentral:lncRNA from 1 species
AUGCCACUAUUCUCCAGGGCAGAGGAUCUAGGGAAAUACAAGGAAAAUACAGGAAGCAAGAGGAGCUUGGCCUCCCUGCAGUAUGAUUGGGCCCUGUACAGUGUUGAGCAUCAGUUGGCCAUGUUCCAUCCAACAAGUUUGUUUCCCUUAGGGAUGGAUGACAGCCCUGAACUUCUUACAUUCUUCACAUUCCUCUUGACACCCUGGGAAAGUUGCCUGACUUGCUCUUUAUUUCAAUCCAUGUGUUACUUCAGCUAGUGGUAAAAUUUCAAUCCUUUAUUGCAACUGAUGAAGAGUGAAGUAAGCAGAACCAGGAAAACUGUUCCCAGGAACAGCAGUAUGAUACCGCCAAGGGAAGGGGACCAGAUGGAAACGGUAUUCU